rnacentral:rRNA from 1 species
UGGGGAAUUUUGCGCAAUGGGGGGAAACCCCUGACGCAGCAACGCCGCGUGCGGGAUGAAGGCCUUCGGGUUGUAAACCGCUUUCAGUAGGGAAGAAAAU